rnacentral:lncRNA from 1 species
GGUGGAUGUAUAGUUCCUGAGAAAAAUGUGACGAAAGUUUCAUGGGACGGACUGACUGACGGACGGACGGACGGACUGACGGACUGACGGACGGACGGACAGACAGAGGUAAAACAGUAUACCCCCCCUUUUUUAAAGCGGGGGUAUAAUAUUUGUAUACUAAGAUGUGGUAACCAUCUGUUUUACCUUUGUUAACUGUUUACUGUGUACUUGUUUUUAAUUGUCAGUUCAUCUCUCUGUAUGUCAGUUCUCGCAUCACAGAACAUGAAGUGAAGGAUCUCCCAAAAUUAACCUUGGAAUGAAUCAAAAAUUCAUAUAAGGAAUCGAUUGUAAGAACAUACUCACCCCUUCUUGGCCAAUGAAAAGUCAGUUUUACACCCUCUAAUUUUCAUAGUACAUGGUUUUUUUUCCAUGCACUAUGAAAUGCUAUACAUGAAUGACUUUUCAUUGUCAGUUAAUUAUGACAGUGAACUCUUAAUUACUGCCUAACGAAGUGUACAAUCCCCUGAGGCAUUUUCUAUUGGAAUAGAACCUACUGAUUAAAAUGAAAGAACAAAAAUUAAAACAAAAAAUUCUGAAUUUUGCAAAUUUUCAUGCAUUUUCUAACAAUACAGAUAAAUCGAAUAAACAAAAACAAUUUGGGUAAGGAUGUAGCUAAAAAAAAUCUGAUUUAAUUUAUAUACCUGACAUUUGAGGGAUUUUUUUCUCAAGAAAAAUGCCAGACUGCUGAUAAAUAAAGCAAAGAAUUGUUUUAUGAGAAACACAAAUACAUGUCAAUUUAUCAAUAAAAAGUAAGCAUUUAAUGUUGAAUGGUCUGAAUUUAAAUAUUUAUAAAGAGAGUUUUAUAUCUAUAAAAAAAAAAAGAAAAAAAAAGCGUGAAUUUAUAUACCAAUGUGUUGCUUUUUUAAAAUAAAAAACCUCAAAAUAAAUAUGUAUUAAAUUUUACCUAAAGCAGAAAAAAAAAACAAUUUAUCCAUCCGGUCCUCACAAACUAUGUCUGAGCCUUUUCAUUUCAUCAAUUGAAAUGAUGAUUACCUAUGUUUUACAUUUAGUUCAUUAUGAAAAGUGAACUCGUAUUCAGGUUUGAAUAUUACAAUGAGAAAGGAUAAUUUUAUAAGGUCACUCGAAAUUGUGAAUAUGUUCUAAAUUGGUCAGACAAUACUUGGUCUUAAAUUUUCAUAAAACAUAACGAAGUAUUGUCUAACCUAUAAAUGGCAUGAGUAAUAGUUAUAUUUAUACCUUAGCUCAAUCUUAGUACAAC